AUUGAACGCUGGCGGCAGGCCUAACACAUGCAAGUCGAGCGGGGUUUUCGGACCUAGCGGCGGACGGGUGAGUAAUGCGUAGGAAGCUACCCGAUAGAGGGGGAUACCAGUUGGAAACGACUGUUAAUACCGCAUAAUGUCUACGGACCAAAGUGUGGGACCUUCGGGCCACAUGCUAUCGGAUGCGCCUACGUGGGAUUAGCUAGUUGGUGAGGUAAUGGCUCACCAAGGCGACGAUCCCUAGCUGGUUUGAGAGGAUGAUCAGCCACACUGGAACUGAGACACGGUCCAGACUCCUACGGGGGGCAGCAGUGGGGAAUAUUGGACAAUGGGAGCAAGCCUGAUCCAGCCAUGCCGCGUGUGUGAAGAAGGCCUUCGGGUUGUAAAGCACUUUCAGUAGGGAGGAAGCGUUGUGUGUUAAUAGUACACAGCGUUGACGUUACCUACAGAAGAAGCACCGGCUAACUCUGUGCCAGCCGCCGCCGUAACAC
rnacentral:rRNA from 1 species